rnacentral:rRNA from 1 species
AGAGUUUGAUCAUGGCUCAGGAUGAACGCUAGCUACAGGCUUAACACAUGCAAGUCGAGGGGAAACGACAUCGAAAGCUUGCUUUUGAUGGGCGUCGACCGGCGCACGGGUGAGUAACGCGUAUCCAACCUGCCCACCACUUGGGGAUAACCUUGCGAAAGUAAGACUAAUACCCGAUGAUAUCUCUAGAAGACAUCUGAAAGAGAUUAAAGAUUUAUCGGUGAUGGAUGGGGAUGCGUCUGAUUAGCUUGUUGGCGGGUAACGGCCACCAAGGCUACGAUCAGUAGGGUUCUGAGAGGAAGUCCCCCANAUUGGAACUGAGACACGGUCCAAACUCCUACGGGAGCA